CCUACGGGGGGCUGCAGUGGGGGAUAUUGCACAAUGGGGGAAACCCUGAUGCAGCGACGCCGCGUGUGGGAAGACGGUCUUCUGGAUUGUAAACCACUGUCCCCAGGGACGAAAAUGACGGUACCUGGGGAGGAAGCUCCGGCUAACUACGUGCCAGCAGCCGCGGUAAUACGUAGGGAGCAAGCGUUGUCCGGAAUUACUGGGUGUAAAGGGAGCGUAGGCGGGGAUGCAAGUUGGGUGUCAAAACUACCGGCUCAACCGAUAGUCGCACUCAAAACUGCAGCUCUUGAGUGAAGUAGAGGCAGGCGGAAGUCCUAGUGUAGCGGUGAAAUGCGUAGAUAUUAGGAGGAACACCAGUGGCGAAGGCGGCCUGCUGGGCUUUUACUGACGCUGAGGCUCGAAAGUGUGGGGAGCAAACAGGAUUAGAUACCCGUGUAGUC
rnacentral:rRNA from 1 species